rnacentral:lncRNA from 1 species
AUGGGCUUAUUUAUACAGCUUGUGUCAACACAAACUAACCUCUGUCCCAGAGACAGGGAAAAAACAGCGCUCAGAAAGCCUUUAGCUGGCUACAUUAAGUCCUGGCCUUUUGAGAGGUUGCCCAAGCUUCAGACAGGUCACAUUCCCACGAGAAAUGAUCUCUCUUUACUAUAUUCUCUUUUCUUUUUUUUUUUUUUUUGGUUAAGCAGCCAUGGAGGGUGGGGGAGUGGAAAAAGAGGAUCACAAAAAUUGUUUGAGAUUUCGCUUCUGCAAGCAGCUGGCUGUGAAACACGUCGGUUUGCCUUCUUAACACAGAAGACAAGAGAAUCUAGUUUCUACCGUCUCAGAAGCUGAGAACAAACCAGCUGCCUGGGGAAUGUCAUUUCAAGCUAAAUAUGAUUCAGUCCCUUAAAAUAUGACUUAAAGCUUUACUCCAACAGCAAAUGGAAAUGUCUGUGUGAUGUAAGCCUCAAAUUUUAUAAUUUAUAUAUGGGAUUCUUGACUUAAAAAAAAAACAACUUUUACCGAUAGAACAAACAUACACUAAAAUCAAGAAAGUGAAAGUGAAGUCGCUCAGUCGUGUUGGACUCUUUGCGACCCCGUGGGCAGUAGCCUGCACCAGGUUCCUCCGUCCAUGGGAUUUUCUAGGCAAGAGUACUGGAGUGGGUUGCCAUUUCCUUCUCCAGGGAAUCUUCCCGACCCAGGGAUCGAACCCAGGCCUCCCGCAUUGUAGACAGACACUUUACCAUCUGAGCCACCAGGGAAGUCCUAAAAUCAAGAAGCAUGUAUCCAAUAACUAAGGGGAUGUAUGAAGUACAUUAAGAUACAUAAGACAGAGUUCCUGUCCAUCAGGAAUCUAAACUCUAUUGAGUAUGAGAAUGUAAACAAUAAUCUGAGACUUCAAUGACAGUUCACCAGACGUAAAUGACAGUUCAAGACGAGUGUGGAAGAGCUGGCAUGUCAGUACAUGAUUCAUCUCAAAAUGAAUCAGAGAGACAGUAACUGUAGGUGCUAAUGAGUUGAAAGUUAAAAACAACUACUUUAUUUGGGGAUGAGCAGGAAAACAUGAAUGGAACUGAUUAACUAGGAACUGGCUACCAAAAAGGAAUACUUUGUUUUGGCAGAGAAACUUCUGGAAGCGGUGGUGGACGCCAAAGUGUGGAAAUGAGAAAGCACUUCAGACAAUUCUGACCACUUGCUCUUACUACUUGCCUACCUUGUUGUGUUAAAAUGAAGAAAACAGUGAGAACACCUUUAUUUAGCAAAGGAGCCAAGUUUUUUGGUAUAACCAGAUGUACCAGAACUAAAAUAAAUUGGUCCAGAAUAGCA